UUUACCUAACCAAGUAAAAAUCUCAUUUAGGCUCUCAUGCUUUGACCCUUGGCGUAACAUGUCUCGUUCUUUAUGACGUAGCAAUGUUAACUGACUGUACUUGCUGCAUGAGCGCCCUUGGUUUCUCUGGGGUUGGGUCUGGGGGAAGUCCGGCUGCCUGAAUGCCUGGUGCAGAGAAUGCAUGGGUCUGGGGCUUCCUCUCCUGCAUUCUGUCCUGUGUGUUCAUCAGCAUGAUACGUCACUGCCUUGCUUCCUGCUGUGGUGACUAGCAUCACCGAACUUCUUCACCUCCAGCUUCAUCUUCAUGUGCUUCUAGCUUGGCCUUCACAGAAAUGGUCCAUUUAGGUGCUUGGUUUUCCUAAAAACAUUUCCUUAGAACGUUUGGUGUUUUCUCUUGUAGGGAAGGCAGCCUCUGGAGUGUUCUGGUGGCUGGGGAUUGGAUGGUACCAGUUUGUUACUUUGAUUUCUUGGCUGAAUGUGUUUCUUCUUACCAGGUGCCUUCGAAACAUCUGCAAGUUUUUAGUCUUGCUCAUCCCACUCUUCCUUUUACUAGGUAAGUCAAAUCUGGCUGAGUUGCCUCCGAUGGCUAAGCGGUACACACAUACGUGUAACUUAGUGGAAACAAAUGAGCGUGUAAGUCCGUGUUUUGAGAAGCGUGG
rnacentral:sRNA from 1 species